rnacentral:rRNA from 1 species
GCCCUAGUAACGGCGAGUGAAGCGGCAACAGCUCAAAUUUGAAAUCUGGCCCUCGGGUCCGAGUUGUAAUUUGUAGAGGAUGCUUUUGGUGCGGUGCCUUCCGAGUUCCCUGGAACGGGACGCCAUAGAGGGUGAGAGCCCCGUCUGGUCGGACACCAAUCCUCUGUAAAGCUCCUUCGACGAGUCGAGUAGUUUGGGAAUGCUGCUCUAAAUGGGAGGUAUAUGUCUUCUAAAGCUAAAUACCGGCCAGAGACCGAUAGCGCACAAGUAGAGUGAUCGAAAGAUGAAAAGCACUUUGAAAAGAGAGUUAAACAGCACGUGAAAUUGUUGAAAGGGAAGCGCUCAUGACCAGACUUGGGCUUGGUAGAUCAACCUGGGUUCUCCCCGGUGCACUCUUCCUCGUCCCAGGCCAGCAUCAGUUCGCGGCGGGGGACAAAGGCUUCGGGAAUGUGGCUCCCUCGGGAGUGUUAUAGCCCGUUGCGUAAUACCCUGCUGCGGACUGAGGUUCGCGUUCUGCAAGGAUGCUGGCGUAAUGGUCAUCAGUGACCCGUCUUGAAACACGGACCAAGGAGUCGUCUUCGUAUGCGAGUGUUCGGGUGUUAAACCCCUACGCGUAAUGAAAGUGAACGCAGGUGAGAGCUUCGGCGCAUCAUCGACCGAUCCUGAUGUUCUCGGAUGGAUUUGAGUAAGAGCAUACGGGGCCGGACCCGAAAGAAGGUGAACUAUGCCUGUAUAGGGUGAAGCCAGAGGAAACUCUGGUGGAGGCUCGCAGCGGUUCUGACGUGCAAAUCGAUCGUCAAAUAUGGGCAUGGGGGCGAAAGACUAA